rfam:Zea mays cultivar B73 chromosome 6, whole genome shotgun sequence.
ACUCUAGUAUUCAUCCCAAUCCACAUGUAUUGAAGUGGAUUGUGGUGUAUGUUAAACUAAUUUACACCCCAAUUCACCUCAAUACAUGUGGAUUGGGAUGAAUACUAAA